rnacentral:rRNA from 1 species
AUUGAACGCUGGCGGCAGGCUUAACGCAUGCAAGUCGAGCGGAGCGAGGGUGCUUGCACCUUAGCUUAGCGGCGGACGGGUGAGUAAUGCUUAGGAAUCUGCCUAUUAGUGGGGGACAACAUUCCGAAAGGGAUGCUAAUACCGCAUACGCCCUACGGGGGAAGGCAGGGGAUCUUCGGACCUUGCGCUAAUAGAUGAGCCUAAGUCGGAUUAGCUAGUUGGUGGGGUAAAGGCCUACCAAGGCGACGAUCUGUAGCGGGUCUGAGAGGAUGAUCCGCCACACUGGGACUGAGACACGGCCCAGACUCCUACGGGAGGCAGCAGUGGGGAAUAUUGGACAAUGGGCGGAAGCCUGAUCCAGCCAUGCCGCGUGUGUGAAGAAGGCCUUUUGGUUGUAAAGCACUUUAAGCGAGGAGGAGGCUACUAGUAUUAAUACUACUGGAUAGUGGACGUUACUCGCAGAAUAAGCACCGGCUAACUCUGUGCCAGCAGCCGCCGUAAGAC